GACAGAGGUGCCAAGCGUUAGGCGGAAUCACUGGGCUUAAAGCGUGUGUAGGCGGAUUUGUAAGUACCUUGUGAAAUCCCACGGCUUAACCGUGGAACUGCUCGGUAUACUGCGAAUCUUGGGCCAUCUAGGGGCUACCGGAACAAGUGGUGGAGCGGUGAAAUGCGUAGAUAUCAUGAGGAAUACCAGAGGCGAAGGCGGCUACCUGGACAAUUGCUGACGCUCAGGCACGAAAGCGUGGGGAGCAAAAGGG
rnacentral:rRNA from 1 species